rnacentral:rRNA from 1 species
GGGGGGCUAUCUGCAGUCGAGCGAUGGAUUAAGAGCUUGCUCUUAUGAAGUUAGCGGCGGACGGGUGAGUAACACGUGGGUAACCUGCCCAUAAGACUGGGAUAACUCCGGGAAACCGGGGCUAAUACCGGAUAACAUUUUGAACCGCAUGGUUCGAAAUUGAAAGGCGGCUUCGGCUGUCACUUAUGGAUGGACCCGCGUCGCAUUAGCUAGUUGGUGAGGUAACGGCUCACCAAGGCAACGAUGCGUAGCCGACCUGAGAGGGUGAUCGGCCACACUGGGACUGAGACACGGCCCAGACUCCUACGGGAGGCAGCAGUAGGGAAUCUUCCGCAAUGGACGAAAGUCUGACGGAGCAACGCCGCGUGAGUGAUGAAGGCUUUCGGGUCGUAAAACUCUGUUGUUAGGGAAGAACAAGUGCUAGUUGAAUAAGCUGGCACCUUGACGGUACCUAACCAGAAAGCCACGGCUAACUACGUGCCAGCAGCCGCGGUAAUACGUAGGUGGCAAGCGUUAUCCGGAAUUAUUGGGCGUAAAGCGCGCGCAGGUGGUUUCUUAAGUCUGAUGUGAAAGCCCACGGCUCAACCGUGGAGGGUCAUUGGAAACUGGGAGACUUGAGUGCAGAAGAGGAAAGUGGAAUUCCAUGUGUAGCGGUGAAAUGCGUAGAGAUAUGGAGGAACACCAGUGGCGAAGGCGACUUUCUGGUCUGUAACUGACACUGAGGCGCGAAAGCGUGGGGGAGCAAACAGGAUUAGAUACCCUGGUAGUCCACGCCGUAAACGAUGAGUGCUAAGUGUUAGAGGGUUUCCGCCCUUUAGUGCUGAAGUUAACGCAUUAAGCACUCCGCCUGGGGAGUACGGCCGCAAGGCUGAAACUCAAAGGAAUUGACGGGGGCCCGCACAAGCGGUGGAGCAUGUGUUUAAUUUCGAAGCACGCGAAGACC